rnacentral:misc_RNA from 1 species
GUAAUUAUUAAAUUUUUCAGACGCUGACUGCAACUGCAAAUGGUUUAAUGGGGUCCUAACGGCAGGCGGACCUGCCGAGGAAACGUGUAGUACGCAAAAGACAUGGGUAAGAGAUGGCAGACAAAAGCCUGCAACUCUCGGUAAUGAUCCUUCCGCAGGUUCACCUACGGAAA